AGUGAACGCUGGCGGUAGGCCUAACACAUGCAAGUCGAACGGCAGCACAGUAAGAGCUUGCUCUUACGGGUGGCGAGUGGCGGACGGGUGAGGAAUACAUCGGAAUCUACUUUUUCGUGGGGGAUAACGUAGGGAAACUUACGCUAAUACCGCAUACGACCUACGGGUGAAAGCAGGGGAUCUUCGGACCUUGCGCGAUUGAAUGAGCCGAUGUCGGAUUAGCUAGUUGGCGGGGUAAAGGCCCACCAAGGCGACGAUCCGUAGCUGGUCUGAGAGGAUGGUCAGCCACACUGGAACUGAGACACGGUCCAGACUCCUACGGGAGGCAGCAGUGGGAAUAUUGGACAAUGGGCGCAAGCCUGAUCCAGCCAUACCGCGUGGGUGAAGAAGGCCUUCGGGUUGUAAAGCCCUUUUGUUGGGAAAGAAAAGCAGCAGGUUAAUACCCCGCUGUUCUGACGGUACCCAAAGAAUAAGCACCGGCUAACUUCGUG
rnacentral:rRNA from 1 species